rnacentral:misc_RNA from 1 species
UGGACCAGAACCUGUAACAGUGGCUCCUUCCCCUGUCCCUCAAGAGUCCAAGUCUGCUGGGAAAAAACCCAUCAAACCGAAGUGGCUGAAAAUGUGAUACAACCAACUCUGCCAGUGAGCACCCCAUUCCUGAGGGUAACUGAAGGGAUAUAGAAUGUGUGGAAUCCAUUAUAAACUGAAUCUUUAGGAAGUUGUAAAAGGCUCAAGGAAAUGACUUGCUUCUUACCCUCAGCUCGUGUAUCAUGUGAAUAUUAAUUGUGCCUUGCCUCAAGUUUUCACGAAUGGCUUGUCAUUGCUCUGUUGGUAACUUUGUAUUAAUUGAUAAUUUUCGUAUGUUGAUCCAUUCUUUAGCUGUACUAAAGAGUGGAAGUAGGCCAUCACAAUAUUCCUGCUCACAAAGGCGGCAUUUUCUAAUCAUCUAAUGAAAUAAUAAUGUAGAAGCUCAUAAUGUAACUAUAAUUUCCCUACUGAUUCCGAAUUUUUAUCCAGUUUAAGCCUUGUCAAAAUGGAUAAAAAUUCGGAAUCA